rfam:Myotis brandtii contig241669, whole genome shotgun sequence.
AGCAGUUCUCGGGUGAUGCAUCCAGGAAUUGGGCUCCCUCCUCUCUGGUUCCUGGUGUGUCACCCGAGAACCACC